UACGAAGGGUGCAAGCGUUACUCGGAAUUACUGGGCGUAAAGCGUGCGUAGGUGGUUCGUUAAGUCUGCCGUGAAAGCCCCGGGCUCAACCUGGGAAUGGCGGUGGAUACUGGCGGACUAGAGUGCGGUAGAGGGUGGUGGAAUUCCCGGUGUAGUAGUGAAAUGCGUAGAGAUCGGGAGGAACAUCUGUGGCGAAGGCGGCCACCUGGACCAGCACUGACACUGAGGCACGAAAGCGUGGGGAGCAAACAGG
rnacentral:rRNA from 1 species